GCGAACGCUGGCGGAAUGCUUAACACAUGCAAGUCGCACGGUCAGCAAUGGCAGUGGCGGACGGGUGAGUAACGCGUAGGAAUAUGUCCAGAGGUGGGGGACAACCCCGGGAAACUGGGGCUAAUACCGCAUAUGAGCUGAGGCUCAAAGCAGUGAUGCGCCUUUGGAGUAGCCUGCGUCCGAUUAGCUUGUUGGUGGGGUAAUGGCCUACCAAGGCGACGAUCGGUAGCUGGUCUGAGAGGACGACCAGCCACACUGGGACUGAGACACGGCCCAGACUCCUACGGGAGGCAGCAGUGGGGAAUAUUGGACAAUGGGCGCAAGCCUGAUCCAGCAAUUCCGCGUGGGUGAAGAAGGUCUUCGGAUUGUAAAGCCCUUUCGACGGGGACGAUGAUGACGGUACCCGUAGAAGAAGCCCCGGCUAACUUCGU
rnacentral:rRNA from 1 species